AGUUUCAGAUUAGAUGUACAUUAGAAUGCCAUUCUUAUGUAGGUUCAAGCACUAAUGCCUUUGGACACAUUAUAAUAAAGUGUUCAAGCACUAAUGUUUUGGACACAUAUAAUGAAGUGUCUUUGCCACUCUAAAAUGAAGUCAAUACAUCAUAAAUAAGGUCAUGCUAAAGCGGACACUUACAAUGGACUAAAAUACAAUUGGAAUAUUUAAAGGAAAAAAUAGAUGAAAGAAAUGUAU